CCUACGGGAGGCAGCAGUGGGGAAUAUUGGGCAAUGGAGGAAACCCUGACCCAGCGACGCCGCGUGCGGGAUGAAGGCCUUCGGGUUGUAAACCGCUUUCAGUAGGGAAGAAGCGAAAGUGACGGUACCUACAAAAGAAGCACCGGCUAACUAUGUGCCAGCAGCCGCGGUAAUACAUAGGGUGCAAGCGUUGUCCGGAAUUAUUGGGCGUAAAGAGCUCGUAGGUCGUUUGUUACGUCGGAUGUGAAAACCUGAGGCUCAACCUCAGGCCUGCAUUCGAUACGGGCAAACUAGAGUUUGGUAGGGGAGACUGGAAUUCCUGGUGUAGCGGUGGAAUGCGCAGAUAUCAGGAGGAACACCAAUGGCGAAGGCAGGUCUCUGGGCCAAUACUGACACUGAGGAGCGAAAGUCUGGGGAGCGAACAGGAUUAGAUACCCUGGUAGUCCAGACCGUAAACGGUGGGCACUAGUUGUGGGAACCUUCCACGGUUUCUGCGACGCAGCUAACGCAUUAAGUGCCCCGCCUGGGGAGUACGAUCGCAAGAUUAAAACUCAAAUGAAUUGACCGGNUGAGACGNGCGAGCGACACGAGGAGAG
rnacentral:rRNA from 1 species